UUCGUCAUCACCAUCGUCCAAGAAAACUCCCGUGAGAGCGGGAGUGAGAGAACUCACGCUCAAAUACUCCUCUCCUCGAACGGUCUUCGGGAAAUCAGUAGAGAGAAAGAUGUGAAAGAGAGAGAUAGAGAGACAGAAGACUAGCCAGGAGAUCAAGCGGAACACUUCUUUAGUUGUCAGAAACCCUAGAAACAGAGAGAACAAGCAGAGCCAAGGAAAGAGAAGCAAGAAUUGAUUUAAUAGGAACAACCGAACAGAAGAGCUAGGGUUUUAGUCUAUUCUGCAACUCGUAAAUGAGUCCAGUUCAGAACUUCGAACAGCAUGCUCGGCAUCUUAUAGAGCCGGACAUCCCUAUACAGGAAAGGCUUCAGAUGGCAAUGGAGGUGCGGGACAGCCUCGAGAUUGCGCAUACUGCUGAGUACUUAAAGUUCCUGAAAUGCUAUUUCCGGGCCUUCUCCAUGAUUCUUACACAGUUAACGACACCUCAACUCACGGACAACCCCGAACACAAGGUUAGAAAUGUUAUCGUUGAGAUUCUUAAUCGUCUCCCUCACAGCGAAGUACUCCGCCCCAUCGUUCAGGAUCUUUUGAAACUCGCUCUACAAGUUCUCACUUUGGACAACGAGGAGAAUGGCCUAGUUUGUAUACGUAUCAUCUUUGACCUUUUGCGUAACUUUAGGCCGAGCCUUGAGAAUGAGGUCCAGCCGUUCCUUGACUUCGUUUGUAAGAUAUACCAGAACUUUGGGGCGACUGUUAGUUAUUACUUUGAGGAUGGGGCGGGUGGAGAAGAUAAUAAGCAGCUCACUGAUUCGGGUCAACUUGCUAGUGGGUACAUUGGUGGCGGGCAGCUUAACCCCAGCACCCGUUCCUUUAAGAUAGUCACGGAGAGCCCACUGGUAGUGAUGUUCCUUUUCCAGCUGUAUGGGCGGCUGGUUCAGACCAACAUUCCUCACCUGUUGCCUUUGAUGGUUUCCGCAAUAUCUGUUUCGGGUCCUGAAAAGGUUCCUCCGCAGUCAAAGAUCCACUUCAUUGAAUUGAAGAGUGCACAGGUUAAGACAAUUUCCUUUUUAACUUACUUGCUGAAAAGUUUUGCUGACUAUAUAAGGCCUCAUGAAGAAAGCAUAUGUAGAAGCAUUGUGAAUUUGUUUGUUAGUUGUCCAGACACUGUUUCUGUUCGGAAGGAAUUGCUUGUAGCAUUGAAACAUGUUCUUGGAACAGAUUUUAAGCGGGGAUUAUUUCCUUUAAUUGACACUUUAUUGGAGGAGAGGGUUUUGGUGGGAUCUGGUCGAGCUUGCUUUGAUACAUUGAGACCAUUAGCUUAUAGUCUACUUGCAGAGAUUGUACAUCAUGUCCGAGGGGAUCUCUCACUAUCACAGUUGUCAAGAAUUAUUUACUUGUUCUCCAGGAACAUGCAUGAUUCAUCCCUGUCAUUGAGCAUUCAUACUACCUGUGCACGCCUAAUGCUGAAUCUGGUGGAGCCUAUUUUUGAGAAAGGUGUUGAUCAAUUAUCCAUGGAUGAAGCAAGGGUUUUAUUGGGUCGAAUUCUGGAUGCUUUUGUAGGGAAGUUUAGUACCUUCAAACGGACCAUUCCUCAGCUAUUGGAGGAGGGUGAGGAAGGAAAGGAACGAUUGACAUUGAGGUCAAAGCUUGAACUCCCUGUGCAGGCAGUUUUAAAUCUGCAGGUCCCUGUGGAGCACUCCAAGGAAAUCAGUGAUUGUAAACAUCUAAUUAAGACGCUGGUCAUGGGAAUGAAGACAAUAAUUUGGAGCAUCACUCAUUGUCAUUUAUCACGAACACAGGUUUCACCAUCAGCACAUGGAACACAUCAGCAAAUGCAGGUCUCCCCAUCAUCUAACUUGCCAGUUCCUCAAGCAUUUAAAGGGAUGAGAGAGGAGGAGGUGUGGAAGGCCUCUGGUGUCCUGACAAGUGGUGUCCAUUGCUUAACUCUCUUCAAGGAGAAAGACGAAGAGAGGGAGAUGCUUCACCUUUUUUCUCAAAUAUUAGCUAUUAUGGAGCCACGAGAUCUUAUGGAUAUGUUUUCUAUGUGCAUGCCAGAAAUUUUUGAGUGCAUGAUCAGCAACAAUCAGUUGCUUCACAUAUUUUCUACCCUUCUGCAAGCACCCAAGGUUUUUCGGCCUUUUGCAGAUGUUUUGGUCAAUUUCCUCGUCAGUAGCAAGCUUGAUUUUUUUAAGAAUCCAGAUACACCAGCAGCGAAACUUGUGUUGCAUCUUUUUCGGUUGUUAUUCACUGCUGUUUCUAAGGCUCCUUCAGAUUGUGAACGUAUUCUACAGCCUCAUGUGCCUGUUAUCAUGGAGGCUUGCAUAAAGAAUGCCACUGAAGUUGAAAGGCCUCUUGGUUAUAUGCAACUUCUUCGUACAAUGUUCCGUGCACUUGCAGGGGGAAAAUUUGAACUUCUUUUGCGAGACCUGAUUCCUACAUUGCAACCCUGCCUAAAUAUGUUACUGGCUAUGGUAGAUGGGCCUACUGGUGAAGACAUGAGGGACCUUGUGCUGGAGCUUUGCCUAACUUUACCAGCCCGUUUAAGUUCUUUGUUGCCUCACCUUCCCCGUCUUAUGAAGCCUCUGGUUUUGACUCUAAAAGGAAGUGAUGACCUUGUAAGCUUAGGUCUAAGGACACUUGAGUAUUGGAUUGAUAGUUUAAACCCUGAUUUCUUGGAACCAAGUAUGGCAAAUAUCAUGUCGGAAGUGAUCCUAACUUUAUGGUCACACUUGAGGCCAGCACCCUAUCCAUGGGGUGCAAAAGCUUUGCAACUUCUUGGUAAACUCGGUGGUCGGAACAGACGUUUUCUCAAAGAACCCCUUGCACUUGAGUGUAAAGAGAACCCUGAGCAUGGGCUUCGAUUGAUUUUUACAUUUGAGCCAUCAACUCCUUUUUUAGUACCUUUGGAUCGUUGCAUAUAUCUGGCUGUAGCUGCUGUCAUGCAGAAGACUGCUGGCAUGGAUGCUUUUUACAGAAAGCAGGCUUUAAAGUUCCUCCGUGUGUGCUUGUCUUCUCAACUGAACUUACGAGGUAAUGUUACUGGGGAGGGUAUCACACCUGGGCAAUUGUCAACAUUAUUAGUUUCUUCAAUGGAUCCUUCCUGGCACCGGGCUGAGACCUCAGAUUUUAAGGGUGACUUGGGUGUCAAGACUAAAACACAACUUCUGGCUGAGAAAUCUGUGUUUAAGGUCCUCUUGAUGACCAUCAUUGCUGCUAGUGCAGAACCAGAUCUCUGUGACUUCAAGGAUGAUUUUGUUCUCAAUGUUUGCCGCCAUUUUGCUUUUAUUUUCCAUGUGGAGAACUGUUCAACUAAUUCUUCAGUUGCGACCGGGCAACUUGUGGGCCCUGUGCUUUCAUCAACUAAUAACAUGGGUUCCAGAUCUAGGGGCUCUUCUUCUUCAAAUCUCAAGGAGUUGGAUCCACUGAUAUUUUUGGAUGCAUUGGUGGAAGUGCUAGCAGAUGAAAACAGGCUUCAUGCUAAGGCUGCUCUUAAUGCUUUAAAUUUGUUUGCUGAGACACUUCUUUUCCUUGCUCGCUCAAAGCAUAGUGGAGUGCUAACUUCAAGGGGAGCUCCUGUUACUCCUAUGAUGGUUUCUAGUCCAUCAAUGAAUCCUGUAUAUUCACCACCCCCUAAUGUUAGGAUCCCUGUGUUUGAGCAACUUUUGCCUCGUCUUCUCCAUUGUUGUUAUGGGAAUACAUGGCAAGCUCAAAUUGGGGGUGUGAUGGGGCUAGGUGCUUUGGUGGGUAAAGUCACAGUUGAGACUUUAUGUUUUUUCCAAGUCAGAAUUGUCCGUGGUCUUUUAUAUGUUCUCAAAAGACUUCCUGCGCAUGCUAACAAGGAACAAGAGGAGACGAGUCAAGUGCUCACACAGGUCCUCCGUGUGGUGAAUAAUGUUGAUGAAACAAAUAGCGAACCCCGUAGGCAAAGCUUUCAGGGUGUUGUUGAUUUUCUUGCUUCAGAGUUGUUUAACGCUAAUGCAUCCAUUGUUGUUAGGAAGAAUGUACAAUCAUGCCUAGCACUUCUGGCGAGUAGGACUGGUAGUGAGGUCUCUGAGUUGCUUGAGCCUUUGUAUCAACCAUUGCUUCAGCCCUUUAUAAUGCGAUCACUUCGGUCCAAGAAUGUUGAUCAACAGGUUGGGACAGUUACAGCUUUGAAUUUUUGCUUGGCUUUGAGACCACCUCUUAUCAAGUUGACUCCUGAGCUCGUUAAUUUCUUGCAAGAAGCUCUGCAAAUCGCUGAAGCUGAUGAGACCGUAUUGGUUGUGAAAUUUAUGAACCCAAAAGUUGCAACUUCAUUAAACAAACUUCGGACAGCAUGUAUUGAGUUACUAUGUACAGCAAUGGCAUGGACAGAUUUUAAAACUCCAAAUCAUUCUGAACUGCGGGCAAAGAUCAUUUCCAUGUUUUUCAAGUCAUUGACUUGUCGGACACCGGAAAUUGUUGCUGUUGCAAAGGAGGGGCUUCGGCAGGUUAUUCAACAACAAAGGAUGCCCAAAGACCUUCUGCAGACUAGCCUUCGACCUAUUUUAGUUAAUUUGGCACAUACAAAGAGUCUCAGCAUGCCUCUUUUGCAAGGUUUGGCACGUUUACUUGAACUUCUCUCCAACUGGUUUAAUGUUACUUUGGGUGGUAAGCUUUUGGAGCAUCUGAGGAAAUGGUUAGAACCGGAAAAGCUUGCUCAAUCUCAGAAAUCAUGGAAGGCUGGAGAGGAACCGAAAAUUGCAGCAGCUAUUAUUGAGCUUUUCCAUCUGCUCCCUCCAGCGGCUGGGAGGUUCCUGGAUGAACUGGUGACCCUUACAAUUGAUUUGGAAGGGGCUCUUCCCCAAGGGCAAUUCUACAGUGAAAUUAACAGUCCUUAUCGCCUUCCACUCACCAAAUUCUUAAAUCGAUAUUCAAGUGAAGCUGUUGGGUAUUUUCUUGGUCGUUUAAGCCAGCCUAAAUACUUUAGGCGGUUUAUGUAUAUAAUACGUUCAGAUGCUGGCCAACCCUUGAGAGAAGAACUUGGAAAGUCUCCAGAGAAGAUACUUGCAAAUGCUUUCCCUCAAUUCUUUCCAAAGUCUGAAAAAUCUGUGGCUUCGGUAUCUAUGAUUCCACCUGCUGCUCCAGUGAAUGAAGAAAAUCUUGUUACACCUCUACCUGAAGGGCUUUCUAAUCCACCAUCUGCAUCCCAGAGUGCAAGCUCAGAUGCUUAUUUUCAGGGACUUGCACUUAUUUCAGCUUUGGUUAAACUGAUACCUGAAUGGUUGCACAAUAACCGUAUUGUUUUCGAUACGCUGGUUCUUGUCUGGAAAUCACCUGCAAGAAUUGCUCGUUUACACAAUGAGCAAGAGCUGAGUUUGGUUCAAGUGAAAGAAAGCAAAUGGAUUGUCAAAUGCUUUCUCAAUUACUUGCGGCAUGAGAAAACUGAAGUCAAUGUUUUAUUUGAUAUGCUUUCUAUUUUUUUAGUCCACACUCGUAUUGAUUAUACUUUCCUGAAGGAAUUUUACAUCAUUGAGGUUGCUGAAGGUUAUCCUCCAAAUAUGAAGAAAACCCUUCUAGUGCAUUUCUUGGAACUUUUCCAAUCCAAGCAACUCAGCCAUGAUCACCUGGUUGUUGCUAUGCAAAUGCUCAUUCUUCCAAUGCUAUCUCAUGCUUUUCAGAAUGGCCAAAGUUGGGAGGUUGUAGAUCCUACUGUUAUUAAGACAAUAGUCGAUAAGCUUCUUGAUCCCCCAGAAGAGGUUACAGCCGAGUAUGAUGAACCGUUGAGAAUAGAACUUCUGCAGCUCGCUACAUUACUUCUCAAAUAUCUACAAAAUGACCUUGUUCAUCAUCGAAAGGAACUCAUCAAAUUUGGUUGGAAUCAUCUGAAGCAAGAAGAGAGCGCCAGUAAGCAAUGGGCUUUUGUCAAUGUUUGCCAUUUCUUGGAGGCCUAUCAGGCUCCAGAGAAAAUUAUACUCCAGGUUUUUGUGGCUCUUCUUAGAACUUGCCAGCCAGAGAACAAGAUGCUGGUUAGGCAGGCACUUGAUAUACUAAUGCCAGCAUUGCCCCGAAGGUUGCCUGCGGUGGAUAACCGUAUGCCAAUUUGGAUCCGUUACACAAAAAAGAUUCUGGUUGAAGAAGGUCAUUCAAUUCCUAAUUUAAUUCACAUAUUCCAGCUCAUUGUCCGCCAUUCGGAUCUCUUCUACAGCUGUAGAGCACAAUUUGUUCCUCACAUGGUUAAUUCUCUGAGUCGCCUUGGGUUGCCAUAUAACACGACUGCAGAAAAUAGACGCCUUGCCAUUGAAGUUGCAGGUUUGGUUGUCGGAUGGGAAAGGCAGAGGCAAAAUGAAGUUAAAGCAUUACCUGAUACAGAAGGCCCUGACCAAGCUAGUGAUGUGUUUAAUCCGGGGCCUGUUAGUGUUGAUCCAAAACGUCCAUCAGAAGGUUCUUCAUUACCUGAUGAACUAAGUAAACGAGUAAAGGUUGAACCUGGUCUUCAAUCCAUCUGUGUCAUGUCCCCUGGUGGUGCUACAUCAAUCACCAAUAUAGAAACCCCUGGAUCUGCUGCCCAGCCUGAUGAGGCAUUCAAACCUAAUGCUGCCAUGGAAGAGAUGAUUAUCAAUUUUCUCAUUAGAGUUGCUUUGGUUAUAGAGCCCAAGGAUAAGGAGACAAGUUCAAUGUAUAAGCAGGCUUUGGCGCUAUUAUCACAAGCUUUAGAGGUGUGGCCUAAUGCCAAUGUUAAGUUCAAUUAUCUGGAGAAGUUGCUGAGCAGUCUUCAACCAUCUCAAUCAAAAGACCCCGUGACAGCUUUGGCUCAGGGCCUUGAUGUCAUGAACAAGGUUUUGGAGAAGCAACCUCAUUUGUUCAUCCGGAACAACAUCAACCAUAUUUCACAAAUACUUGAGCCUUGCUUCAACAAUAAAAUGCUGGAUGCUGGGAAGUCUCUGUGCUCCUUGUUGAAGAUGGUCUUUAUGGCAUUUACUUCAGAGGCGGCUAAUAUACCACAAGAUGUGAAGUUAUUUUACCAAAGGGUUGAGGAUCUUAUACAAAAGCAUCUUGCUGCUGUGACAUCCCCUCAGAUAUCACUAGAAAUUAGUGCUGCAAACUCCAUGAUUGGCUUUGCACUCUUUGUCAUUAAGACUUUGACAGAGGUGCAGAAGAACUUCAUUGAUCCAUUCAUUUUGCCGUUGGCCCGUGUCCUUCAACGCCUGAUACGGGAUAUGGGAUCAUCUGGAGGUCCUCACAUGAGACAAGGUCAGAGAACAGAGCCAGAAGCUGCUGGCCCUGCUCGUGUGGUUGGUGACGUCGGAUCAGUUACCCCUAAUUUGAAAUCUGUCUUAAAACUUAUUAGUGCAAGGAUCAUGCUUGUUCCUGAAAGUAAAAGAUCUGUAAGCCAAAUACUAAAUGCGCUACUGACUGAGAAGGGUACUGAUGCCAGUGUGCUACUUUGCAUACUUGAUGUAAUAAGGGGCUGGAUUGAAGAUGACUUCAGUAGGUCGGUGGCAUCUGGUGCAUCAGGAGCCGUUCUUACUCAGAAAGAGAUAGUUUCAUAUCUUCAGAAGUUGUCACUGGUUGAUAAGCUGGGUUUCUCCCAAAGUGUGCUGGAAGAGUGGGACAAGAAAUAUCUUGAACUUCUGUAUGGACUUUGUGCUGAAUCAAACAAGUAUCCACUGUCCAUGCGACAAGAAGUGUUCCAGAAAGUGGAAAGGCAAUUUAUGCUUGGUCUAAGGGCAAAAGAUCCAGAGGUCAGACAGAAAUUCUUCUUGCUAUAUCAUGAAUCUCUUGGGAAAACAUUGUUCGCAAGGCUGCAAUUUAUCAUCCAAAUUCAGGACUGGGAAGCUUUGAGUGAUGUCUUCUGGCUCAAACAAGGCCUUGAUCUUCUUCUGGCUAUCUUGCUUGAAAAUGAACCUAUCACACUUGCUCCAAACUCUGCUCGAGUACUCCCACUUAUGGCACAGGGUACUCUUUCAGAGCGUCCUGGAAUGCAGCAACAGGUUACUGAAGCACCUGAUAAUUCUGAAGGGAGUGUAUUAACACUUGAUAACCUUGUCUAUAAGCAUGCACAGUUUUUGAACGAGAUGAGAAAACUUAAGGUGGCUGAUCUUGUUGUUCCUUUGAGGGAACUGGCUCACACAGAUGCUAAUGUUGCAUAUCAUUUGUGGGUACUGGUAUUCCCAAUUGUCUGGGUGACUUUACACAAGGAAGAGCAGGUGGCAUUAGCUAAGCCAAUGAUAGCUCUCUUGUCAAAAGAUUACCACAAAAAGCAACAAGGAAACAGACCAAAUGUUGUACAGGCACUUUUAGAAGGUCUUCAUUUGAGCCACCCUCAACCUCGGAUGCCAAGUGAACUCAUUAAAUAUAUUGGAAAGACUUACAAUGCCUGGCACAUCUCAUUGGCUCUGCUCGAAAGUCAUGUCAUGUUGUUCAUGAAUGAAGCAAAGUGUUCUGAGUCUCUUGCUGAACUUUAUCGAUUGCUCAAUGAGGAGGAUAUGAGGUGUGGCCUGUGGAAGAAGAGAUCAAUUACUGCAGAAACACGCACUGGGCUUUCACUUGUUCAACAUGGUUAUUGGCAAAGGGCCCAAAGCCUAUUUUACCAAGCCAUGAUCAAGGCAACCCAGGGCACUUAUAAUAACACAGUUCCAAAGGCUGAAAUGUGUCUUUGGGAAGAGCAAUGGCUUUAUUGUGCUAGUCAGCUUAGUCAGUGGGAUGUUUUGGCAGACUUUGGUAAAAGUGUUGAAAAUUAUGAAAUACUUCUGGAUUGUCUCUGGAAAAUUCCUGAUUGGGCAUACGUGAAGGAUAAUGUAAUUCCUAAGGCUCAAGUAGAAGAAACUCCAAAGCUCCGCUUAAUCCAGGCGUUUUUUGCUCUUCAUGAUAGGAAUACAAAUGGUGUGGGAGAGGCGGAAAAUAUAGUGGGAAAGGGUGUUGAUCUUGCUUUAGAACAAUGGUGGCAAUUGCCUGAGAUGUCUGUUCAGGCCCGGAUACCUCUUUUACAGCAGUUUCAACAGCUAGUUGAAGUUCAAGAAUCAGCUAGAGUUAUUGUGGAUAUUUCCAAUGGAAACAAGCAGCUUUCAGGAAACUCCGUUGCAGGUGUUCAUGCUAGUGGUUAUAUGGAUCUGAAGGACAUCCUUGAGACAUGGCGUCUCAGGACCCCAAAUGAGUGGGACAACUCAUCUGUUUGGUAUGAUUUACUUCACUGGCGAAAUGAGAUGUAUAAUACUAUUAUUGAUGCAUUCAAAGAUUUUGGCAGCACAAACCCACAGCUUCAUCAUCUUGGUUACCGUGACAAAGCUUGGAAUGUCAAUAUGCUUGCUCACAUCGCCCGUAAGCAAGGUCUUUAUGAUGUGUGUGUGACAAUACUUGAGAAGAUGUAUGGCCACUCAACCAUGGAAGUACAGGAGGCCUUUGUCAAAAUUAGAGAACAAGCAAAAGCUUAUCUUGAGAUGAAGGGAGACCUUACCAGUGGUCUUAAUUUGAUCAAUGGUGCUAAUCUUGAAUAUUUUCCGGUGAAACAUAAAGCAGAAAUUUUUCGCCUCAAAGGGGAUUUCCUAUUGAAAUUAACUGAUCAUGAAAAGGCUAAUGUUGCAUAUUCCAAUGCCAUCAGUCUUUUCAAGCAUUUACCAAAAGGAUGGAUAAGUUGGGGAAACUAUUGUGACAUGGUUUACAAAGAAACUCAAGAAGAGAUUUGGUUAGAAUAUGCUGUUAGUUGCUUUCUUCAAGGAAUCAAAUGUGGUGUUUCUAACUCCAGAAGCCAUUUAGCUCAUGUCCUAUACCUUCUCAGCUUUGAUACUUCCAAUGAACCGGUGGGAAGAGCAUUUGAUAAGUACUUGGACCAGAUCCCACAUUGGGUUUGGCUUUCUUGGGUCCCACAGCUAUUGCUUUCCUUGCAGAGGACAGAAGCGCCCCAUUGCAAACUUGUGCUAUUAAAAAUUGCGACUAUGUAUCCACAGGCUCUUUAUUACUGGUUACGCACAUAUUUGCUUGAGCGCCGUGAUGUUGCCAAUAAAUCUGAAUUAGGAAGAUUGCGAAUGCAGCAAGGCGCCUCUGGGACUGGCACAACUUCUUUAGGCUUGUCUGAGGGAACAGCAAGAGUACAGACUCAUGCUGGGGGUUCUCUGACAACAGACAAUCAGGUUCAUCAAGGCCCUCAGUCUGCAAGUAUUGGCAGAUCACAUGACGGUGGGAACUCUCAUGGACAAGAACAUGAAAGGACCACAGGUGUAGAAGGAAGUGUGCAUGGUGGGCAUGACCAGCCUUCACAGCAAAGUUCUUCAACCAUUAGUGAAGGUCAAGGUGUCUUGAGGCGUAAUGGUAUGCUUGGAUUAGUAGCUUCUGCUGCUAGUGCAUUUGAUGCUGCGAAAGAUAUAAUGGAGGCUCUUAGAAGCAAGCAUACUAAUUUGGCUAGUGAGCUUGAGACUCUGCUUACGGAAAUUGGUUCAAGGUUUGUUACCCUUCCUGAGGAGAGACUACUGGCUGUGGUAAAUGCUCUGCUUCAUCGCUGUUACAAGUACCCAACUGCCACUACAGCAGAGGUUCCACAAUCCCUGAAAAAGGAGCUGUCCGGUGUUUGCAAGGCUUGCUUUUCGGCUGAUGCUGUGACCAAACAUGUUGAAUUUGUGAGAGAAUAUAAGCAGGACUUUGAACGUGAUCUUGAUCCAGAAAGCACGGCUACUUUUCCGGCCACCCUUUCUGAACUGACUGAGCGAUUGAAGCACUGGAAAAAUGUUCUUCAAAGCAAUGUUGAGGACAGAUUUCCAGCUGUCUUGAAGCUAGAAGAGGAAAGCAGGGUGUUGCAUGAUUUUCAUGUGGUUGAUGUUGAAGUUCCGGGGCAGUAUUUUACUGAUCAGGAAGUUGCACCUGAUCAUACAGUGAAGUUAGACAGAGUUGGAGCCGACAUUCCAAUUGUGAGACGGCAUGGAAGCAGUUUCCGCCGACUGACACUCAUUGGAUCUGAUGGUUCUCAACGCCAUUUUAUUGUUCAAACAUCUUUGACCCCUAAUGCUAGAAGUGAUGAACGCAUACUGCAGCUGUUCCGUGUGAUGAACCGGAUGUUUGACAAGCACAAGGAAUCAAGGCAGCGCCACAUAUGCAUCCACACCCCAAUAAUUAUCCCUGUUUGGUCCCAGGUUAGGAUGGUAGAAGAUGACUUGAUGUAUAGCACGUUUCUUGAGGUCUAUGAGAAUAAUUGUGCACGUAACAAUCGAGAGGCAGAUCUCCCAAUUACUCAUUUCAAGGAGCAAUUAAACCAAGCCAUCUCCGGCCAGAUUUCACCCGAAGCUGUUGUGGAUCUCCGCCUCCAAGCGUAUAAUGAGAUAACAAAGACUCUUGUCACAGAUGGCAUAUUCUCUCAGUACAUGUACAAGACUCUUCCGAGUGGUAACCAUCUGUGGGCUUUUAAAAAGCAGUUUGCCAUCCAGUUGGCACUUUCUAGUUUCAUGUCAUUCAUGCUACAGAUUGGAGGAAGGACCCCCAACAAGAUUCUGUUUGCAAAGAACACUGGAAAAAUAUUUCAGACUGACUUCCACCCAGCUUAUGAUGCAAAUGGGAUGAUUGAGUUUAAUGAAGCAGUUCCUUUCCGACUGACAAGAAACAUGCAGGCAUUCUUCUCCCAUUUUGGAGUGGAGGGGCUGAUUGUUUCUUCCAUGUGUGCUGCCGCACAAGCUGUGGUUUCACCUAAACAAAUUCAGCAUUUAUGGCAUCAUUUAGCCAUGUUUUUCCGUGAUGAGCUGCUGUCUUGGUCUUGGAGAAGGCCAUUGCAGAUGCCUUCGGCCCCUCCUGCUCCUGCAGGAGGCUGCUUAAACCCCAUGGACUUCAAGCUCAAGGUCACUACAAAUGUGGACCACGUCAUUGGACGGAUCAAAGGAGUAGCACCACAGAACUUCUUGGAGGAGGAGGAUAAUGCUAUGGAACCACCGCAGUCUGUACAGAGAGGUGUAACUGAGCUGGUUGAAGCUGCCCUGAUGCCCAGGAAUUUGUGCAUGAUGGAUCCAACGUGGCACCCUUGGUUUUAGUUGUGGUUGCUUUUGGCCACAUCAUUGCUGAAAUAUAUGAAGCAUCUUUGGCCACCUCAACACUCAGUAAGAAUCUGAUGUGCAGCUCUCUCUCACUCACUCAAUCUCUCUCUCUCUCUCUCACACCUUAUUGCUGAUUCCUUCUAAAUCCAUUUAUAUAAACCAGUUGUAACAAAUUUGGCCAAGUAAUAAAAGCGAUCAUUCGGUUCGACGACGAAAUCAUCAUAGGUGACUGCCCAUGAAUGCCA